rnacentral:lncRNA from 1 species
AAACAAGUCACGUGUAAGCUUAGUACCCAGAGAGGACUACCAUUAGCUUUUUGUUUUCUUUCUUGUUUUAAUAACUUUAAAAAUUUUGUAAUUUUUUUCUCUUUGCAUUUAUUUUUAUUUGUGAAAUUGAAUAAUUUUUUUAUGGUAAUAGAAACAGAUAGCAUUUACUGAUUUACUUCCUCUGGGCCCAGGAAUUCUGCAAAGCUGUUGAAUGCACCUUUUAAUUUGGUAUUGACAUAGAAACAGUCACGGUCCUCUUUUAUAUCCUGAAAUAGAAACCCCAGCUUUGAUGGCAGAGUUCUUAGAAGGGGCAAGAAGUGGUCACUGCUGCCCUCCCCAUUUUUCAAUUGAGAAAAAGGACACUCGACUCCCUGCCCCUGGAACACCUAGGUGGGUGCCUGUAUUUGAAGCCAUCUCAGUGUGUUGAGGAUUUUUUCCCAGUGUCUACAGUACUUUUCCUGGCUCUCUGGUGUUCUCAGGUCUGUCUUCCGGGCUUUCUGCUCAUGCCGACAGCAGAUCUGUCUUCAGAAAGAAGCUCGGAUCACUGGAUUCCUGCUCAGGGUAUUUUUCUGUGCUGCGUCCUCCUCCAGCUAAGACUCCACCGUCUGGGAGGACGGGAGUGGUGUUAUCUGCUUCCAGAAAGUGCACACUUGUCUCAACCAUUUUGGAACUAAAGCCUGAGAUUUGGCUAGAACUCCACAAGAUUGCAAUCCGGCUGACAAUAUGUGUGUGGGUUCCUCUUCACACUCCCAAGCGGGUCGCCCAGUAUCCUUAUGCAGGAGGCAACGGGAGCAUUUUCACCACUUUAAGAUAGAGGCAGUUAUUUAAAACUAUUUGCUUUUCCAAUAAGACAUUUGUCCUAGGAAAAACUAUUUGCACGUGGGGACACACACCCACACACAC